GACCUUAGUUGAGGCACAGUUGCUCCUCAGCCGAUGUCACUGUGAAGAGGUGUCAAAAGGGGUGGUCUCUAUUGUGGCUCAGAAACUAGUAUUCAAAGUGGUGGAUCGGGUGGUAGUAAAACAUUUCCAAAAAGUGCAGGGGCAGCCAGUGACCAGUGACAAAGGAGUGACAAGUGGUGGAAUGCUGUGAGUGAAGUGGUGAGGAAAUGUUUUCGGAUUGGUGGUGACUCAGGUGUGCAUGUGGAAGGUAGUGAGUGAACAAAGAUUUGGAGCAAGGUGGGGCUGACUCAUCAGCAGAAAUGCUCUUCACUUCUUCAUGAAUGUUGCCCAAAUCCUAGAUGGCAUGGAGGAGUCAUCUCCAGUUGCCUCGCAUAGACAACUUCUUGAGGCAGUUUUCCAUGAUGUCGACCUCAUGAAGAAGUGGGACAAUGUGUGCGACGGGAGGCUGCGCCAAGAAGACUCCUUGCGCCUCAUGGAGCUCAUUUGCAGACAAUUCUGCAACACCCAUGCGCGCGGUGUUAUCAAGAAGAGGAUAAUAAAUUGAACAGGUUUCCACCAGUGCAAUUGCGUGCUAAACUGGCCAGUAGUAUUUAUCCUUUGUUAACUUAGUCAGCGCCUUUGUCUGCUACACUUGUGGCAAAGAUUUCACAAGGCAGUAUAAUUUGAAAGCUCAUUUGGAAAAAGUGCACAUAGUCAACGUCUCAAAAAGCAUAAUUUUGUUUGUAAUAUGCCAAAUUGUGAGCAAAGUUGACCUCUAUGAUCAUCUUCGGAUUUACCACAAAGCUGACCUGAAGCCUCCUCAAACUUACAAUUUUCAAUCAGUUAAAGAAUUGAGGAAGUGUAAAUCUCAAAUUCAGGACAGCUCCUUGUCAUUCUUUUCAAUGCAAUAUGGUCCUCAGGAGGGGGAGAGUGUAAUAUUACAGUCAACAUGAUGGUCAAGUGAAGACGCACACAAAAGGGGAUGAACGUGUGAGGAAAACUGAUCGAAAGAAUUUAAAGGGUUGCAUCAAGAAAGAUAAGGUAUGUUCGGCCACGAUGUCCGUCUACCACCUGAAAGAUGGUUGUGUCCGUGUUGAAUACCGACCUACUCAUUCUCAUGUGCCCCAUCCAAGAGAUUCACGUCACCAACCAACCACUCUCUGAUGAAACAAAUGAUUUCAUAAAUAUGCAGCUGGAUUGGAGUGCCAGAAAAAUUUGGUUAGGUCUUAGAGAUAAUUCCUACAAACGGGAAAAUUGAUUUGAAAAACCUAAUCUAAACGGAACAAUUUUGUCAAUCUAAAGGCCAUAAGUGAGAGAAGACGGAAGAAGUUCGCAGCGGCUGGGUAUGCUGGCAGAGUGGCUUAGCACCUGCUUCAGAACAAUCAAUGACCACAAGUAUCAAAAUCAAAAAAAGGAAAACCAACCCGGCAUUGCAUGCCAAAAACAAAAAGGAGCACGCCGGCAACAAUUUCAAUAAAAAUCUGGCGUGGGAGAGCAUUGGCGCUGCUCAGACGCCUCCUAUGACUGCUGAAGAGGCGGAGAAAGCCUGGUAUAGGUUGAGACAGAAGUUUGGGAAGUAGUGGCAGCGCCACAAGACUAGCGUCACUGGGCGAAGCGGGGCAGCAGCAGGACCUCUGUACAGGUCAUCGUGGCCUCUGUGCGGGGACCUGCUGUUCCUGGCGGACCAUAUGUCCCCCCGAAGAACUGUCAGCAACUACAAACGGGCCUCCUCAAGCAGCAGCUCAAUGAGCCAGGUGCCAAUAAUUUCUUGGUCAACGAAGCCGACACUGCCCC